UGCUUGGUGGUGAGAGUGGCGAACGGGUGAGUAAUGCGUGACCGACCUGCCCCAUACACCGGAAUAGCUCCUGGAAACGGGUGGUAAUGCCGGAUGCUCCGACUCCUCGCAUGGGGUGUCGGGAAAGAUUUCAUCGGUAUGGGAUGGGGUCGCGUCCUAUCAGGUAGUCGGCGGGGUAACGGCCCACCGAGCCUACGACGGGUAGCCGGCCUGAGAGGGCGACCGGCCACAUUGGGACUGAGAUACGGCCCAGACUCCUACGGGAGGCAGCAGUGGGGAGUAUUGCACAAUGGGCGCAAGCCUGAUGCAGCGACGCCGCGUGCGGGAUGACGGCCUUCGGGUUGUAAACCGCUUUUGAUCGGGAGCAAGCCUUCGGGUGAGUGUACCUUUCGAAUAAGCACCGGCUAACUACGUGCCAGCAGCCGCGGUAAUACGUAGGGCGCAAGCGUUAUCCGGAAUUAUUGGGCGUAAAGGGCUCGUAGGCGGUUCGUCGCGUCCGGUGUGAAAGUCCAUCGCUUAACGGUGGAUCUGCGCCGGGUACGGGCGGGCUGGAGUGCGGUAGGGGAGACUGGAAUUCCCGGUGUAACGGUGGAAUGUGUAGAUAUCGGGAAGAACACCAAUGGCGAAGGCAGGUCUCUGGGCCGUUACUGACGCUGAGGAGCGAAAGCGUGGGGAGCGAACAGGAUUAGAUACCCUGGUAGUCCACGCCGUAAACGGUGGAUGCUGGAUGUGGGGCCCGUUCCACGGGUUCCGUGUCGGAGCUAACGCGUUAAGCAUCCCGCCUGGGGAGUACGGCCGCAAGGCUAAAACUCAAAGAAAUUGACGGGGGCCCGCACAAGCGGCGGAGCAUGCGGAUUAAUUCGAUGCAACGCGAAGAACCUUACCUGGGCUUGACAUGUUCCCGACAGCCGUAGAGAUAUGGCCUCCCUUCGGGGCGGGUUCACAGGUGCUGCAUGGUCGUCGUCAGCUCGUGUCGUGAGAUGUUGGGUUAAGUCCCGCAACGAGCGCAACCCUCGCCCUGUGUUGCCAGCACGCCAUGGUGGGAACUCACGGGGGACCGCCGGGGUCAACUCGGAGGAAGGUGGGGAUGACGUCAGAUCAUCAUGCCCCUUACGUCCAGGGCUUCACGCAUGCUACAAUGGCCGGUACAACGGGAUGCGACACGGCGACGUGGAGCGGAUCCCUGAAAACCGGUCUCAGUUCGGAUUGGAGUCUGCAACCCGACUCCAUGAAGGCGGAGUCGCUAGUAAUCGCGGAUCAGCAACGCCGCGGUGAAUGCGUUCCCGGGCCUUGUACACACCGCCCGUCAAGUCAUGAAAGUGGGUAGCACCCGAAGCCGGUGGCCUAACCCCA
rnacentral:rRNA from 1 species